UAACUCUGGUUUCCCUUCAGACGUAUAAAUCUUUCGCCUUUUACUAAAGAUUUCCGUGUAGGGGAACAUUCAAAUGAGUCUGUAAUAUUUUUGGAAGCUUUACCUGGUAAAGUU